CAGGAGGAGAAGGGGACAACAGAGGAUGAGAUGGCUGGAUGGCAUCACUGACUCGAUGGACGUGAGUCUGAGUGAACUCCGGGAGUUGGUGAUGGAUAGGUGUUGGGAAGCCCAGUACAAAAUAGCUGGUUGGAGGAAGUCCUUGGGAAAAUGGCUAAGGGCCAGAAAUAUCCUGGCUUGGUGUGCUCAGGCAGAAAAAUAUCUCCUGCCUUUGGUUAUGCCCAGCGCCAAGAUUUAAUAAUAAAUAUUAAGGAUGUUGCUUAAGAAAACGGGUUAUGGGAUAAGCACAUGAGUCACUUAGAGUGCGCUGUCCUUGAAAUAUUUUUACUGAUUAGGUGUUAACCCCGUACGUGCUCUGCUGGCUGUAUACUCUAAGCUCUUUGUUCCUACUUCUAUAAAAAGGCUUGACUGCAGAAAUAAACUUGUCAGUCCUUGCAAGAGACUGUCCGAGUGUCCUUCUUUCAGGUUUGUCGCUUCCAAGUCCCGGGGAGAAAAAUCCCCAACAAGUGGUGCCUGAACAGGGACUUGAGAGGAAGGCUGAACAAAGCGACGAGCCCUGCAGAAAGAGAUGGAGAGGAAAUCUGGGUUCCCAUUCUCCAUGUCCAUUCCUGAGAAGGACCCCAAGACCAGACUCCCUCGGCAAGUGACGAAGGUGACACGAAGGGUCUCGUCAAUGACCUUGGAGGAGCCAAUGAGGAAACGCCAUCGUCUGAAUCCUUACCCGACAUGGGCUCAAGUGAAAAACAUGACUCGUCAGGCUAAGCAGACACUGAAGAGUACUGGAACUCCUAUGACUCCAGAUAAGCUGUUUCUGGCAAUGUUAGCUGUUCUUUCCUGUUCCUCUGGGGUAAGUGCAGAAUAUGUUUAUUGAGCAUACAUACCCAACCCACCACUUCUCUCCAUAGUGGAUUGGGUAGAUAAAGCCCCUAUGAUAUUUACUAAUGACAGCAUGCAUUUUCCAAGUCCCUGGUCCAUAAAGCGACCAAUUCAUGAAGAAGAUGAGGGAAAGCCAAUCAACAUUUCCGUGGGAUUCAAAACCUUGCCUAUCUGUUUCGGAUCUCAUCCCCUUUGCAUGACUGUCUUCCCACAGUGGUGGACAUACUCUGCCAACAAUGGGACUGCUUUGCAUCUGGGAGUGUUUGCUACGGCAUCUUUCUUACUUAAUGGCACCAAGCGAUAUUAUCCAGGCUGGAUAGCCAACUAUUCGAACUCGCUUUUUCAACCAGAGGAACCUUCAUGUCAUACUGUAUCUUGGAGAAGAAAACAGGAGAUACAACCGUUACAUUGGUCUGAUUGUCGAGGCCAAUUUGGGAAAGUUUCUAUAAUUCAGCAAAAUCAUACUUUUCAUACAUUUAAAUUUGUUAGCUGGGGACCUCACGGGUUGUUUGUAAACUGUUCUGAAGAGCAAGAAGAACAUCAUAACUGCUCCUGGUUUAAUAGAUCAAGCAUUGGAGGCUUUCAUAAAUCUAAGACAAGUUUAUGGACUGAUAAGGACAUAUUGCUGAAUUGGUAUAAUGGGGGCUUAUCACCCCCAUGACCCAGGAUUGUCGUCCCCAUUGUGGGGCCAAAGCAAUGGCACAUUUGGAAAAUUCCAGCAGCCUUAAAGCACUUCGCUAGUGUUUAUGGGACUGUGGGUAUGUUUCAUCCUUCUAAUUACACCUUCCUAUACAAUAGUACUGGUUAUAUUCAAUCAUGUGUUCACCUUCCGUACUUGUUUAUUGUAGGGCAUUUUGAUAUUGACUUAUCAGCCAAGAUUGUCAAUUGUACUGCAUGUGCAUUGUAUACCUGCCUUAACCACACCAUUUCAUAUCACAAUGCUAGCAUUGCGCUAGUUAAACAAAGAUCUGAGUUACGGCUUCCCGUAAACUUAACUGAGCCUUGGACUGAUUCUGUAUUUCUUUCUGUAUUGUUGAAAACUGGACUUAGGUGAUCUAAGCGUAUCAUUGGGUGGAUUGUUGCAGGCAUCUUAAGCCUUAUCUCCAUUGCAACUGUAGGAACUUUGUCUGGUAUGGCUUUACAUAAUUCUAUACAAAAUCAUGAUUUUAUCACUGCUUGGCACAAAGACUCUCAUGAUCUUUGGACUCAACAAGCUCAAAUAGAUCAGCAAUUACAAACACGAAUUAAUGAGUUACAAACUGUGGUUAUCUACUUAAGAGACCAAACGCAGCAACUGACUUUCCGAACACGUAUACUCUGUCACUGGAAUUUUACUUCUUUUUGUCUGACUAACAUGCCCUAUAAUAGCACUGAAUAUCCUUGGAAUAAGGUUAAGGCGCAUUUGCAGGAUCUCACAAGUAACUCAAGUUUAGACAUCAGUUUGUUGAAACAACAAGUUGCUAAUUUUCAAGUUAAGGUACCUAAGGAAUUGUACAGCACUCAAUUUUAUGAUACUUUAACCAAAAUCCUAUUGUCUCUAGACCCUAGAGCUUGGUUUUCUGGAAGCAACAUUUUUAUAUAUGUAUUAAUCACCCUGCUUUUUCUGUCAUUGCUUAUAGGAUAUAGAUGUCUCUACUCGAGACUCCAUGCCUCCCACAAUGGAGUCCAACUAGCAGCUACCAUGCUUAAAUUAAAAACAAAAGGAAAAUAUGUUGGGAAGCCCAGUACAAAAUAGCCGGUUGGAGGAAGUCCUUGGGAAAAUGGCGAAGGGCCAGAAAUACCCCAGCUUGGUAUGCUUGGGCAGAAAAACAUCUCCUGCCUUUGGUUAUGCCUGAUGCCAAGAUUUAAUAACAAAUAUUAAGGAUGUUGCUUGAGAAAACGGGUUAUGGGAUAAGCACAUGGGUCACUUAGAGUGUGCUGUCCUUGAAAUAUUUUUACUGAUUAGGUGUUAACCCCGUACGCGCUCUGCUGGCUGUAUACUCUAAGCUCUUUGUUCCUACUUCUAUAAAAAGGCUUGACUGCAGAAAUAAACUUGUCAGUCCGUGCAAGAGACUGUCCAAAUGUCCUUCUUUCAGGUUCGUCACUUCCACGUCCCAGGGAGAAAAUCCCCAACAACAGGGAGGCCUGGCGUGCUGCGAUUCAUGGGGUCGCAAAGAGUCGGACACGACUGAGCGACUGAACUGAACUGAAGUGAAAAUGUGUAAAUUACUGUCACGGUGGUCAGUGCAGCCCCUCUGCUCCCUCUGGCAAGUGUAUUACACACUGACUUCUACUCUUUGCUCACAUCAUUUUGCUCAGUAAGGACUAAGCAGAGAGAUCAGGGCCCUAGAACUUGCCGCCUGGAUUCAAGUUCCAGCUCCAUGACUGCCUUGAGCUUGAGAAAUCCCUUAAUGCUUCCCUAAUGCUUCCCCUACAUAACUCAUGUGAUUGUUCUGAGGACUGGAUGAGUUAGCCUCUGGCACAUAGUGAGUACUAGGCAAGUUUUAACUCUUAUUGCUAUUUUUUUAGAUCAGAAUACACAUGCACCUUAUUUUAUUUCUCUUAACUUUUUGAGAUUUUAACAAACUGAAGGUGUGUGGCAACCCUGCAUUGAGCAAAUUCAUUGGUUUCAUUUUCCCAACAAUGUUUGCUCGGUUUGUUUCUCCUGGCACAGUUUGGUAAAUGUCACAUAUUUCAAACUUUAUUACUAUUAUUAUAUUUGUUGUGGUCAUCUGUGAUCAAUGCUAUUGAAUGUUACUACUAUGACUUACUGCAGGCUUAGAUUUGGUAACAUGUUAUUUUAAAGUUAAUGUAUGUACACUUUUAAGAUAUAAUUCUAAUCACAGUAGACUAUGGUAUAUGUUGUUGCUGUUGUUGUUGUAAACAUAUGUGAAAAAUUCAUUUUACUUGCUCUAUUGCGGUGGUCUGGAACUGAACUUGCAACAUCUCCAAGGUAUGUCUUCACCUUCCUAGGAUUAUGGGCUUCUCUAGUGGCUCAAGGGUAAGAAUCUGCCUGCAAUGUGGAGACCCAGGUUCCAUCCCUGGGUGGGCACGAUCCCUUGGAGUAGGAAAUGGCAACCCACUCCAGUUUUCUUGCCUAGAGAAGCCCAUGGACAAAGGAGCCCAGUGGGCUACAGUUUAUAGGGUUGCAAAGAGUCGGACAUGACUCAGUCACUUGACUUCUUAGGAGUAGCUCAGGAAUACUCCUACUUGAUGAAAUCUUCUCUGAUGAUUUAAAUUCACAAUACACACUCUCCUCCUUCUGGAAGUUCACUGUAAUGAUUGUGAGUGAUUCUAUCUAUUUGAUACUUCUUCUCAUUUACUACUAUGCUUUGACUCCUCUUUGUAUAUGCUGUAUUUCUCAAGAAGGAUACAACUUCUUUGGGAAAAAUCUAUGUAUUAAAGUUUUGGCAUCCCUCAAA